UUUUUUAGUUUAGUUUUCAGUCCUUCGGAUGUUGAGUUGUUUAGAUGUUUAGUUGUUUAGUCGUUUAGUUGUUUAGUUGCUUAAACAAUUCAACAAAUCAACAAAUCAACAGUUCAACAAUUACACCAACAUUAAUUCAGGCUUACAGCCCUCCGAUGUGGGGUUGCUUUUUUCUCCCAACGCUGCGCAUUGGGCUGAAUUAACGCGCCCUUUCAGGGCUUUUUCCCAAAUUGUCAAUGGUUAUUUAGUUUUCGGUUUUCAGCAAACAAUUCAACAACUCAACAAUUCAACAACUCAACAACCUAACCAACGAU
rnacentral:sRNA from 1 species